UACAGAGGUCUCAAGCGUUGUUCGGAUUCAUUGGGCGUAAAGGGUGCGUAGGCGGCGCGGUAAGUCGGAUGUGAAAUCUCGGAGCUUAACUCCGAAACUGCAUUCGAUACUGCCGUGCUUGAGGACUGGAGAGGAGACUGGAAUUUACGGUGUAGCGGUGAAAUGCGUAGAUAUCGUAAGGAAGACCAGUGGCGAAGGCGGGUCUCUGGACAGUUCCUGACACUGAGACACGAAGGCUAGGGGAGCAAACGGG
rnacentral:rRNA from 1 species